UGAUAUAUGCAAAAAUUUUCCUAAACCAAAUAGUAAUAAGUUUCACAGGCUCAAAUUAAUUGCCCGGCCCAACAUUUUGAAAUACCCAAGUAGAGCCCUAGCAAUUGUUGCCCCGCUACUAUAUUAGAACAUCCUAUAACCUAACACAAAUUUUCUUCAGUCUUCUCGCCGCCGCCCUGCCCCGCCGUCGUCUUCAGAGCUCUCCGUGGUAUAUUGGAGAAUUUGAGUAUGUCGAUGAUCACAAGUCAGGAAAAAUUGUUGUUGAACUGAAUGGUAGGCUUAACAAAUGUGGUGUCACUAGUCCCCGCUUUGAUGUUGGAGUUACGGAGAUUGAAGGAUGGACCGCAAGGUUGUUACCUUUCAGACAGGGUAUAUUGGAGAAUUUUCGUAUGUCGAUGAUCACAGGUCAGGAAGAAUUAUUGUUGAACUGAAUGGCAGGCUUAACAAAUGUGGUGUCAUUAGUCCUCGCUUUGAUGUUGGAGUUAAGGAGAUUGAAGGAUGGACCGCAAGGUUGUCAACAUCUAUCUAGCUGUGCUGCUCAUAAGAUCAGUUUUUUGGAUACAUUGUACUCACUACCUCUGCCGGUAUCAUGGAUCACGAGGAAGCUAGAAGGAAGAAUGUUGGUGGAAAGGUCCUUGGUUUCUUUUAUUAAGCUCCUUAUGUAGACAGGAUGAAAGAACGCCCGGUUUUAGUCUCCUUCAACCUUCAUUACAAUUGAAAUGGUUCUUAGUUUGUUCUGAGUUUGUUUUCCUUCAAUCGUUAGUUGGAUUAUUAACUGCAUUUCUUGGACAAGAUUAUCAGUAAUAUAAACUUCAUCCGGAGAAUAUAAGUUGAUGUUUGGCGUUGUUAUAACCUUUCUUGUCAAGUCAACCUCUAGGAAUUAAUUUUUGUUAACGUUUGCAGGUGUUUUGAAAUUCCCAAAAGUAGCACACUUCCUAGCCAGAUGCUUUACACACUUCUUUGCGAUGUUUGAGUGUCCUAAAUUGUACGAAAAGGAGAAGGAAACAUUGAUUCGGUUGUCUCGUGGAUGUGCUGCGGAAAUAACUAGUGGAUUGUAUCUAUUGAUUUAAUUGUCAUUCUUGCUGCGGUGGCAUUGGUGUGGAUUUUGAUUUUUUUCUUCUUUUUACUUGGUAUGUUAUCAACUAGCGACUUGAAUCAAUGGUGGAAUCUUCUUUAUAAGAAAUAAAAUGCAAUC